AGUGAACGCUGGCGGUAGGCCUAACACAUGCAAGUCGAACGGCAGCACAGUAAGAGCUUGCUCUUACGGGUGGCGAGUGGCGGACGGGUGAGGAAUACAUCGGAAUCUACUUUUUCGUGGGGGAUAACGUAGGGAAACUUACGCUAAUACCGCAUACGACCUACGGGUGAAAGCAGGGGAUCUUCGGACCUUGCGCGAUUGAAUGAGCCGAUGUCGGAUUAGCUAGUUGGCGGGGUAAAGGCCCACCAAGGCGACGAUCCGUAGCUGGUCUGAGAGGAUGAUCAGCCACACUGGAACUGAGACACGGUCCAGACUCCUACGGGAGGCAGCAGUGGGGAAUAUUGGUCAAUGGGCGCAAGCCUGAUCCAGCCAUACCGCGUGGGUGAAGAAGGCCUUCGGGUUGUAAAGCCCUUUUGUUGGGAAAGAAAGGCAGCAGGUUAAUACCCCGCUGUUCUGACGGUACCCAAAGAAUAAGCACCGGCUAACUUCGUG
rnacentral:rRNA from 1 species